rnacentral:piRNA from 1 species
UAGGAUGUUAUACUGAGACUGGGGGU